rnacentral:lncRNA from 1 species
UGUCCGUUCAGAGUUUUAUUUCUUUUCUAUUUUAGCUACAAUUAACUUUUCUAUUCAUUGUUUCUUCAUGUGCCCAUUUAGGUUUGAUUUCCAUGCUCGUUUCUCUCUUUUUUUUCCACCCCGUUCAAUUUUAUCCUGUUUUCUUUUCUCAUUUAUUUUCCUUAUUUUCUGAAGAAGUAUUUUGAGUUCGUUUGUUCCAUGUCUUUUUCGUGAAUUUUUUCUAUCAUUUCUUCUGAUUAUCUGCAAUAAUAAAAUAUAAUAUUAUUAGUCUUUAAAUCCUUACCUCUUCUCUAUCAUUAAUUAAUAAAAUAUUCUUAUCAUUUGAUUCUUGAUAUAGUUUUAUAAGGAAUAAAUUUUUUAUUAUAGCUUGGAUAAAUCAAUGGUUAGUAAUGUAAUCAUAAACUUAAGUCUUAAGCAGUUUGUUGUCCAGUCUAAUUAAUAUCUAUAUUUCUAGGUCCACAU